AGUUUGAUCAUGGCUCAGAACGACGCUGGCGGCAUGCCUAACACAUGCAAGUCGAACGAACCCUUCGGGGUGAGUGGCGCACGGGUGCGUAACGCGUGGGAACCUGCCCUUAGGUUCGGAAUAACAGUGAGAAAUCGCUGCUAAUACCAGAUAAUGUCUUCGGACCAAAGAUUUAUCGCCUUUGGAUGGGCCCGCGUUGGAUUAGCUAGUUGGUGGGGUAAAGGCUCACCAAGGCGACGAUCCAUAGCUGGUCUUAGAGGAUGAUCAGCCACACUGGGACUGAGACACGGCCCAGACUCCUACGGGAGGCAGCAGUGGGGAAUAUUGGACAAUGGGCGAAAGCCUGAUCCAGCAAUGCCGCGUGAGUGAUGAAGGCCUUAGGGUUGUAAAGCUCUUUUACCAGGGAUGAUAAUGACAGUACCUGGAGAAUAAGCUCCGGCUAACUCCGUG
rnacentral:rRNA from 1 species